CAGACAUUCUACUGGCUAAAAGUAACUUUGCAAGUACAUGUCAAAUUAUUCUAACCCUAACCCUACAAGUCUACUAAUACUGCACUAAGGCUCUAAUGAGAGUUAGUAGAUAGUCUACAUAUUUUGGUGUGAUGUAGACUGAUAUUUAUGUAUGUGCAUUUGAUUUAAGUAGUCUGCUAUACUGUUAUAAAUAUUUAAUUGAUUUACAUAAGCUAUCAGAAUUUUAUCUUACUUUUUGGCCAUAUAAAUAUCAAAUAUCAAUACAUGCAGGACAGAUGUGAGAGCGAGUAGGUGUUGGAAUGCGGUUCAGGCUUCCAGUUUGUGCCCGUCUGUAAGGGGAUGCCGGCCUCCCCUCAUUAAUUACCCGGAGAGUUAUUCACAGCGCUGCGUGCUUGCUGUGCCUUCAGCACCUCGAUCGCUGCAUGAUCUGCCACUUACCCCAAUAACUGGCUUCCAUUAGCACCUGCUCUUUGACGUCAUGUUUGAUCACGGUGAUCGCGCAAUGAUGGCUGCGCUUUCUGGAGGGCACAUGUGGCUCGGUGUUCAAGGUUCAGCUGUUUCCUAGUAUGCGGAGGAUGUCUUCUGCCCUGUCAGCUUCACCUCCUUUAGUAUGUGGCGAUAUAAAUAAAAAUCCAGAAGAAAUAAACAACAGUGGGGGGUCCUUCUGAAGGGGAACAGAAGGUUUGGUGGGAGACACGGUCAAGACUGCAGAGGCCUUGUUUUAAUUAACAAGUGCUCUGUGAUACUAAGACAACUGAAAGUCAUCCACAAAUGUUAGGCGUUUUGGAGGGUUUCAGCAGGGGUUGUUUUUUGAUACUGGGAGAAUCUGUCAAAACAAGAGUCGAUCCCAUCAUGUGUAAGAAAUAAAUCAAGCCUUAUCAGACAGGUGGGAGACAUGGUCUUUCAUAAAAGCCUGUAUUUAUUCACAUCUGAGAUUACUGUCUUAUAAGAUUAGUGUCUGAUUUAUGUGAAAUAGACAGACAUCAGUGAACGGGAUUAGCAUGUCCCCAAUGUUUCAAUCCCCAACUUUUCAUUCAAUGAAACUUUCACAUUUUUCUCUAUUUCUGUCAUCUGAUGGAGUUUGGUUCCUUGCCUCUGUCGCCUUUUGUCUUGCUAAGUUUGGG
ensembl:lncRNA